rnacentral:rRNA from 1 species
ACUGAAAAUCUUCGGAAUUGUAGUCUGGAGAAGUCAAAUCAACUUCAAGUUUCGGAUAAAGUCUCUUGGAACAGAGCGCCGUGGAGGGUGAUAGCCCCGUUCAUGUCUGAAACGAAAAGUGUACGAUUGGCUUUCUAAGAGUCGAGUUGUUUGGGAUUGCAGCUCUAAGUGGGUGGUAAAUUCCAUCUAAAGCUAAAUAUAAAUGGGAGACCGAUAGCGAACAAGUACCGUGAGGGAAAGAUGCAAAGAACUUUGAAAAGAGAGUUAAAUAGUACCUGAAAUUGCUGAAAUGGAACCGAUGGGAGGCAGUGUCGGCUGGGUGGUACUUGUAUCAUUUAGCAAGUCAGGCUUUCUUAGUUAUGUGGGAAAGGCUUCUAGACCAGUUUGGGCUAGUUUUGCUGUCAUGUGACUGAGAGACUCUGACGAAAUGCCUCUUAUCAACCCGUCUUGAAACACGGACCAAGGAGUCUAACAUGUGUGCGAGUGCUCGGGGUAAAACUCCCAGCGCGGAAUUAACGUAAAGGUGGAUUUAUUCACUGAGGUAGGAUCUGUAAAGUGCACUAUCGACCGACCAUGAUCCUUCGGGAGAAAGGUUUGAGUGUGAGCAUACAUGUUGGGACCCGAAAGAUGGUGAACUAUGCCUGAGUAGGACGAAGCCAGGGGAAACUCUGGUGGAGGUCCGCAGCGAUUCU